UGCUGGGGAGGGAGUUCCAGGACUUUGUCCCAAUGAUAGUGAAGGAACAGAUAUAUUUCCAAUUCAGGUUGGUGCGUGUCUUAGAGGGGAACCUGCAGGUGGUGGUGUUCCAAAGUGCCCGCUGCCCUUGUCCUCUUGGUGGUAGGGGUUACAGGUUUGGGAGGUGCUGUUAGAGUUGACUGCACAAGUUAUUGCGGUGCAUUUUGUUGACGGUACACACUGAAAUCUCUGUGCAUGGGUGGUGGAGGGAACAAAUAGGCACUGUAGGUGAUGCAUAUCAAAGUGGCUGCUUUGUCCUAGGUAUUGUUGAGUCUGAAUGUUGUGCCAUUUAACUCUUACAGGCAGUAUUCUGUCAUAUUGCUGAUAUGCAUUGAGAUGAUGGAAGUGCUUUAGUGUGUGAAUGAUCACUGCAGUAUACCCUUUAUAGAUCUGACCUGACCUGCUCAUCUCAGGUCAUCACCUGAUCAUCUCAGAUCUAGGUGAUUUCAUGAUCAGUGACGACACUCCACACCGCUCCCAUCCCCAGGGUGUUGAUGGCUGAGACAUGGAAUAUGAAGGGUAUGUAGUUUGGUGACCCUUUCUUGUUGGAGUUGGUUAUUACUUGACACUUCUGCAGCAGAAAUGUUACUUCCAUUUCUUAGCUCUUGCCUGGAUGUUGUUCAGGCUUUGCUACCUGCAGACACGGACCUGCUUCAGAUUCUGGGUAGAUGAGAAUGGAAUUGGCAUUGUGCAAUCAUGAGUGAGUGUCUCUCUGGCCUUCAAAUGGAAGGAAGGGCAUUGAUGAAGUAGCUGAACAUCGUUGGGUCUAGCAUGCCUCAUACAAAGGAAGAUGGUCGUGAUUGUUGCAGGUCAAUCAUUCCAGUCCUAGGACAUCACUGCAGGAGAUCCCCAGGGCAGGUAUAAAUCCAGCCACAGGAAUGUUUUAUCAUUAAUGCUCAUUGACUUAAAUUUUACUCGGGCCCCUUGAUGUCACACACAGGCAAAUGCUGCCUUGAUGUCCGUAAGACUAUAAGACAUAGGAGCAGAAUUACACCACUUGGCCCAUUAAGUCUGCUCUGCCAUUCUAUCAUGGCUGAUUUAUUGUCCCUCUCAACCCCAUUCUCCUGCCUUCUCCCCAUAACCUUUGACUCUCUGACUAAUCAAAAAACUAUCAACCUUCACUUUAAAUGUACUCAAUGACUUGGCCUCCACAGCCAUCCAUGUCAAUGAAUUCCACUUUCAGGUGAAAUAAAUCCCUCUUCAUCUCUGUUCCAAAUGAAUGUUGCUGUAUUCUGAGGCGGUGCCCUCUGGUCCUAACUGCCCCACUAUAGGAAACAUUCUCUCCACAUCGACUCUAUAUAGGCCUUUCAAUAUACGAUAGGUUUCAAUGAGAUUCCCCCCUCAUUCUUCAAAACUCCAGCAACUACAAGCCCAGAGCCAUCUAGCAUUCCUCAUCUGUUAACCUUUUAAUUCCUGUAAAUACAACGUUGGAAAGUGUAUGGUCAUGCACUUUGGUGGAAGAAAUAAACGGGCAAACUAUUUUUUAGAUGGGGAAAGAAUUCAAAAGGCAGAGAUACAAAGGAACUUGGGAGUCCUUGUGCAGGAUACCCUAAAGGUUAACCUCCAGGUUCAGUCUGUGGUGAAGAAAGUGAAUGUUGGCAUUCAUUUCUAGAGGUAUAGAAUAUAAGAGCAGGGAUAUGAUGUUGAGGCUCUAUAAGGCACUCGUGAGACCACAUGGAUUAUUGUGUGCAGUUUUGGGCCCCUUAUUUUAUAAAGGAUAUACUAACAUUGGAGAGGGUUCAGAGAAGAUUCACAAGAAUGAUUCCAGGAAUGCAUCCCUGGAGUUCAGGAGAAUGAGGGGGGAUCUCAUAGAAAUAUUCCAAAUGUUAAAAGGCCUAAACAGAUUAGAUAUGGCAAAGUUAUUUCCCAUGGUAGAGGAGUCUAGGAAAAGAGGGCACAACUUCAGGAUUGAAGGACGUCCACUUAGAACAGAGAUACGGAGAAAUUACUUUAGGCAGAGUGUGAUAAAUCUGUGGAAUUUGUUGCCACGAAUGGCUGUGGAGGCCAAGUCAUUGAGUGCAUUUUAGGCAGAGAUUGAUAGGUUCUUAAUUUUUCGGAGAAGGACUUCUGAGAAUUGGAGCAAGAGUGAGGCGGAAGCCAUUUUGAAUUUUACCGGUUUUCAUCGGAGUUGAGAGAGGCGGGACUGCGCAGGCGUGUGACGUCGGGCAGUGAAGUGCGGGAGACUUAAAAGGAACGCAGCCCGAUAUAGCGGGCAGUGUCGUUGCGGGCAGUGGAGUGAGCCGAGAGUAGAAUGGAGACCUAAGGGCUUUGGCUCAACGGGCUUCGUCGGAACUGGGUGAGGCGAGGAAGACCGGAGCUGCAGAGCUCUCACAGCUAGUUGCUUGUCUUUGGAACCUUCGUUUGUCAUCGCCACAAUCAGAACCAACAGAGAUGGUGGAAGAGGGCGAGCAACAAGAGGAAAUUUUGGAUGGAGCAAAUAAUGAUAAUUUCCACCAACACCCCAUAACAUCAUCUUGGGUACUGACACUGAGGAACGAACAAGGUGCUGAGUCCUGCACUCCUUUUCACACACCAGGGUCCUGGUUACCAUACUUCCUUGAAAUUCAACUGGUUGAACACACACAAAAUGCUGGAGGAACUCAGCAGGUCAUAUAGCAGCUAUGGAAGGGAAUGGACAGCUGAUGUUUCAAGCCAACACUCUUCAUCAGGACAAGAAAGGAAGAGCAGAGAUGCCAGAAUAAAGCACGUCGGGGAAGGACAGAAGUAUAAGAUGGCAGUUAAUAGCAGAAUCCAGGUGAGAGGGCAAAGGUAGAGACAAAGGGCUGAAGAAGAAGGAAUCUGGUAGGACGGACGGGACAGUAGGCCAGGACAGUAGACAGUCGAAUAAAGGGAAAGAGGUAGUUUACCAGAGGGAGGUGAUGACUGGUUGUGAGGCAGGGGAAGAAAAGGGGUGAUGGGGCUAAGGGAAUGAGGGAAAACAAGGGAGUGGGGGAAGGAAAAGAGAAAAGGGAGUGGUUACCAACAGUUAGAGAAAUCACUGUUGCUGCUGUCAGUUUGGAGACUACCAAGGUGGAAUGUGAGGCAUUGUUCCUCCAACCUAGGUCUGGCCUCAACGUGACAGUAGCUGUGUCAGUGUUGACCUGCCCAUCACCUACUUCUUGUUCCCCAUCUCCUUCCCUUUCUCCCAUGGUCCACUGUCGUCUCCUACCAGAUUCCUUCUUCAGCCCUUUGUCUCUUCCACCUAUCACCCCCUAGCUUCUCACAUCAUUCCCUAUCAUUCCUCACCCAACUACCUUCUUCCUCUCACCCAGAUUCAGUUAUCACCUGCCAGCUAGAGCUCCUCACCUCUCCAUAUCUUUUUAUUCUGGCUUCUGCUCUCUUCCUUUACAGUCCCGAUAAGAGUCACGGCCCAAAAUGUCGCCUGUUCAUUUCCCUUCAAAGACGCUAUUUGACCUGCUGAGUUCCUCCACCAUUUUGUGCAUGUCGCACAAGAUUUCCAACAUCUGCAGAAUAUUGUGGCUGACCUGGUUCAGCUUCCUUGAAAUUUUCCAGGGCCUUGUUUCCUUUGCUGUCUUUAAACUUACAGAAUAUACUGAAAAAUUAUCCUACCAUGGAAUAUCAAGGAAUAACAUCCAAUAUCUGCCUAGUCCAACAUCACUAGGUCACAGGCAUGCUAGAUUUUACUGUAUUGAACAGAUUGUCAGGCAUUAGUCAGCCUAUGAAUAUCUUCCACGAGUUCUAUUCAUAUUCAGUCCUAUCUAUGGCUGAAUGUGCAAAAGUGAGUGCAAAUGAUGGUUAGUGUAUUUUGGCAUUGGAGAUGAAUUUCUUCUCCACAAUAACUAUUUUAAUCCUCUUCUUUCUGUAAUUAUAUGUUAGUCUACAGGCAAAAGACUGAGUGCAGUCCUCAGGCAAAGGUGGGAUUGAGUGGUGGUGGUUAAUUCAGGCAGUAUGCUGAAAUAAUUUAACUAAUGCAGGGGUAAAUUUCAGAGGGAAAAAUUAUUUUAAAACAAUGACAAACAACACUUCAUAGGAACAAAACAGUUAAUGUUUUGUUUAAAGGUAAACUUUUGUUUGGUGAGUUAUCACUCUCAGGAAAGAAGUGAUCUACCCCUGGUUGCUAUAUUAAACAGGUUUUGGGAAAUAGUCGUGCACAGGAUUGUAAUGUGACCUGUUAAUGAUAUCAGUCAUCUGUGACAAGCA